rnacentral:rRNA from 1 species
AUUGAACGCUGGCGGCAUGCCUUACACAUGCAAGUCGAACGGCAGCACGGGUGCUUGCACCUGGUGGCGAGUGGCGAACGGGUGAGUAAUACAUCGGAACAUGUCCUGUAGUGGGGGAUAGCCCGGCGAAAGCCGGAUUAAUACCGCAUACGAUCUACGGAUGAAAGCGGGGGACCUUCGGGCCUCGCGCUAUAGGGUUGGCCGAUGGCUGAUUAGCUAGUUGGUGGGGUAAAGGCCUACCAAGGCGACGAUCAGUAGCUGGUCUGAGAGGACGACUAGCCACACUGGGACUGAGACACGGCCCAGACUCCUACGGGAGGCAGCAGUGGGGAAUUUUGGACAAUGGGCGAAAGCCUGAUCCAGCAAUGCCGCGUGUGUGAAGAAGGCCUUCGGGUUGUAAAGCACUUUUGUCCGGAAAGAAAUCCUUGGCCCUAAUACGGUCGGGGGAUGACGGUACCGGAAGAAUAAGCACCGGCUAACUACGUG